UGAGACUCUGUGCGCGUGCAUAUCAAUAAGCGGAGGAAAAGAAACUAACAAGGAUUCCCUUAGUAACGGCGAGUGAAGCGGGAAGAGCUCAAAUUUGAAAUCUACAAGGUUCUACCUUGACGAAUUGUAGUUUAUAGAAGUGUUUUCUGUUAGUAGAGUGGCAAAAGUUCUUUGGAAUAGGACAUCAUAGAGGGUGAGAAUCCCGUAUUUGGUCAUUCUUUCUAGCUUUGUGAUACACUUUCAACGAGUCGGAUUGUUUGGGAAUGCAGUCCAAAAUGGGUGGUAAAUUUCAUCUAAAGCUAAAUAUUGGCGAGAGACCGAUAGCGAACAAGUACCGUGAGGGAAAGAUGAAAAGAACUUUGAAAAGAGAGUUAAACAGUACGUGAAAUUGUCAAAAGGGAAGCGUUUGACACCAGUGUUGUUUUUCCGAAAAUCAAUUACGAAUGUUUUAGUUUUUGAGAAGUUAUGACUUCAUCGGCUUGCUUCUCUCUUAUGAAACUUUCUUAAUGCACUUUUCGGUUAACAAGUCAACAUCAAUUUCUUUUGUUGUAAAAGGGUAUGAGGAAGGUGGCUUUCUUUUCGGAGAAAGUGUAUAUAGCCUUGUACCUCUGCUAAUCGGAGAGAUUGAGGUCUGCAGCGUAGAUCCUUCGGGGUUAGAUACAUUUGUGCUAAGUUAUAGCUUUUCAUAGACAACUUGUUGACUAUGUUAAGUCUUGUAGCUUACUCGCUUAUGCUAUUUUACCUACGCUUAGGAUGUUGAAGAUGUAGCACAUCAU
rnacentral:rRNA from 1 species